UACGGAGGGGGCUAGCGUUGUUCGGAAUUACUGGGCGUAAAGCGUACGUAGGCGGAUUGUUAAGACGGGGGUGAAAUCCAUGGGCUCAACCCCGGAAUGGCCUCCGAUACUGGCAAUCUUGAGGUCGGGAGAGGUGAGUGGAAUGGCGAGUGUAGAGGUGAAAUUCGUAGAUAUUCGCCGGAACACCAGUGGCGAAGGCGGCUCACUGGCCCGAUACUGACGCUGAGGUGCGACAGCGUGGGGAGCCAACAGG
rnacentral:rRNA from 1 species